CAACUUUCAACAACAGAUCUCAUGGACUCUCGCAUCGAUGAAGAACGCCAAG
rnacentral:rRNA from 1 species